GACGAGGGAUCCUAGCGUUGCUCGGAAUCAUUGGGCGUAAAGAGGGCGUAGGUGGCUUGGUAAGUCAGGUGUGAAAGCCCAGGGCUCAACCCUGGAAGUGCAUUUGAUACUGCUAAGCUUGAGUGUUGGAGAGGUUAUCGGAAUACCUGGUGUAGUGGUGAAAUACGUAGAUAUCAGGUGGAACACCGGAGGCGAAGGCGGGUAACUGGCCAAACACUGACACUGAGGCCCGAAAGCAUGGGGAUCAAACAGG
rnacentral:rRNA from 1 species